CCUACGGGUGGCAGCAGUGGGGAAUAUUGCACAAUGGGGGAAACCCUGAUGCAGCGACGCCGCGUGGGUGAAGAAGUACUUCGGUAUGUAAAGCCCUAUCAGCAGGGACGAAAAAUGACGGUACCUGACUAAGAAGCACCGGCUAAAUACGUGCCAGCAGCCGCGGUAAUACGUAGGGUGCAAGCGUUAUCCGGAUUUACUGGGUGUAAAGGGAGCGCAGGCGGGACGCGAAGCUUGAGGUGAAAACCCGCGGGCCAACCGCGGGAGUGCAUUGGGAACUGGCGAGCUAGAGUAACGGAGGGGCAGGCGGAAUGCCUAGUGUAGCGGUGAAAUGCGUAGAUAUUGGGAAGAACACCAGUGGCGAAGGCGGCCAGCUGGACGGAGACUGACGCUGAGGCUCGAAAGCGUGGGGAGCAAACAGGAUUAGAUACCCUGGUAGUC
rnacentral:rRNA from 1 species